GGCUCCCUGGUGCACAUGUUAUGAGAGGACGGGCCAUGUGUGAGGACGGCUUGUCAAGGGUUUUGGUGACCUCCAGACCAAUCUCCACUUGUUUGAUCAUGUGAAGAUGAUAUGCCAUAUGUGUGUUUAAAUGAAUAUUCAUUUUUAGAAUACUUAGGAGCAUGUUGUGUGACUGUAUGAGCAUAUAUUAUUUGGUAUUAUUUACUGAAUUGAAAUACUCACUUUCGCUUCUCUUAAUUUCUCUCAGGAAUCUUGGUUACUGCCUCUAUUUAGCCAGAAACUCUUUAAUCCUUUCCUCUAUAGAGCUAGGUAGAAUAAAGUUUAGUUGAAUUAUAGGCUCUUCUUAACUGAAUUUUCUUAUUAUUGUAUAUUUUGUAGAGAUCCGCAAUUACAUUAGGAAAGUAAUAUAUGUAAUAAGAUAUCCAAAAAUGUCUGAUCU
rnacentral:lncRNA from 1 species